GACGAACGCUGGCGGCGUGCUUAACACAUGCAAGUCGAACGGAAAGGCCCUGCUUUUGUGGGGUGCUCGAGUGGCGAACGGGUGAGUAACACGUGAGUAACCUGCCCUUGACUUUGGGAUAACUUCAGGAAACUGGGGCUAAUACCGGAUAGGAGCUCCUGCUGCAUGGUGGGGGUUGGAAAGUUUCGGCGGUUGGGGAUGGACUCGCGGCUUAUCAGCUUGUUGGUGGGGUAGUGGCUUACCAAGGCUUUGACGGGUAGCCGGCCUGAGAGGGUGACCGGCCACCGUAGGGACUGAAUGGGGGCCAAAACCCGUACGGGAGCAGGGUGGGGGAUAAAUUCGACAUGGGGGGAAACCCAAGAGCGCAAACCCCGGGGGGGGGGGAAGGGCUUUGGGGUGUGAAAAGCCUUUGCCCUGGAAGAAGGGGGAGGAGGCGAAAAUGGAAAAGAAGCAACCGGCAACUUAUGA
rnacentral:rRNA from 1 species